rnacentral:tRNA from 2 species
GGGGCCGUCGUCUAGCCCGGAAGGACGCCGCCCUUACGAGGCGGUAGUCCGGGGUUCAAAUCCCCGCGGCCCCACCA